GUUACACAGAUCAAUCAUAGUAUGCCGAGCACGGGACUUGCAUUUACAACACUUGGAUAGGAACUAGUGUUCUACAUUGACGAUAUAUGACGACAACGCACUAACAAUCAUUCAUGAACUAUUCCAAUGUUAGAUGUAUUGACUAUUGACUGUAGCAGUUACACAGAUCAAUCAUAGUAUGCCGAGCACGGGACUUGCAUUUACAACACUUGGAUAGCAACUAGUGUUCUACAUUGACGAUAUAUGACGACAACGCACUAACAAUCAUUCAUGAACUAUUCCAAUGUUAGAUGUAUUGACUAUUGACUGUAGCAGUUACACAGAUCAAUCAUAGUAUGCCGAGCACGGGACUUGCAUUUACAACACUUGGAUAGCAACUAGUGUUCUACAUUGACGAUAUAUGACGACAACGCACUAACAAUCAUUCAUGAACUAUUCCAAUGUUAGAUGUAUUGACUAUUGACUGUAGCAGUUACACAGAUCAAUCAUAGUAUGCCGAGCACGGGACUUGCAUUUACAACACUUGGGAAGCAACUAGUGUUCUACAUUGACGAUAUAUGACGACAACGCACUAACAAUCAUUCAUGAACUAUUCCAAUGUUAGAUGUAUUGACUAUUGACUGUAGCAGUUACACAGAUCAAUCAUAGUAUGCCGAGCACGGGACUUGCAUUUACAACACUUGGAUAGCAACUAGUGUUCUACAUUGACGAUAUAUGACGACAACGCACUAACAAUCAUUCAUGAACUAUUCCAAUGUUAGAUGUAUUGACUAUUGACUGUAGCAGUUACACAGAUCAAUCAUAGUAUGCCGAGCACGGGACUUGCAUUUACAACACUUGGAUAGCAACUAGUGUUCUACAUUGACGAUAUAUGACGACAACGCACUAACAAUCAUUCAUGAACUAUUCCAAUGUUAGAUGUAUUGACUAUUGACUGUAGCAGUUACACAGAUCAAUCAUAGUAUGCCGAGCACGGGACUUGCAUUUACAACACUUGGGAAGCAACUAGUGUUCUACAUUGACGAUAUAUGACGACAACGCACUAACAAUCAUUCAUGAACUAUUCCAAUGUUAGAUGUAUUGACUAUUGACUGUAGCAGUUACACAGAUCAAUCAUAGUAUGCCGAGCACGGGACUUGCAUUUACAACACUUGGAUAGCAACUAGUGUUCUACAUUGACGAUAUAUGACGACAACGCACUAACAAUCAUUCAUGAACUAUUCCAAUGUUAGAUGUAUUGACUAUUGACUGUAAGUUCAGGGGACUAUUAUGAAUUACAUUUUACAAUUGUAAAUGAAUGUUCAAAUGACACCAUUUUCAUGUAGCAGUUACACAGAUCAAUCAUAGUAUGCCGAGCACGGGACUUGCAUUUACAACACUUGGAUAGCAACUAGUGUUCUACAUUGACGAUAUAUGACGACAACGCACUAACAAUCAUUCAUGAACUAUUCCAAUGUUAGAUGUAUUGACUAUUGACUGUAGCAGUUACACAGAUCAAUCAUAGUAUGCCGAGCACGGGACUUGCAUUUACAACACUUGGA
rnacentral:lncRNA from 1 species